rnacentral:pre_miRNA from 1 species
UUUUUAGCAUAAGUAUAUCGUAUGCAAUAUUUAGGGCAUACUUAUGCUAAAA